rnacentral:hammerhead_ribozyme from 1 species
AUCCAGUUGAUUAGUCCCAAGUGGAACUAAACGCGCGUCCUGGAU